UACGAAGGGGGCUAGCGUUGUUCGGAGUUACUGGGCGUAAAGAGUAUGUAGGCGGUGUCCUAAGUUCGGUGUGAAAUCUCCCGCUCAACUGGGAGGGUGCGCCGAAGACUGGGAUGCUGGAGUCUCGGAGAGGAACGCGGAAUUCCUGGUGUAGCGGUGAAAUGCGUAGAUAUCAGGAGGAACACCAGUGGUGUAGACGGCGUUCUGGACGAGUACUGACGCUGAGAUACGAAAGCGUGGGGAGCAAACAGG
rnacentral:rRNA from 1 species